rnacentral:lncRNA from 1 species
GAAGAAUCUCCCAGAAAGUAUCACAAAAUAGCUAAAUGGAGGGCAGAUAUUUCAUGGAAAUCCCUAAAAAAGAUUUUAAAUAUAUUUUGUAUAAAAAUUUAAAGUUGUUGAUAUACAAAAGAGGAGAAAGAGCUGAUGGAGAUACCCAAGAUUGUUAGGCAGUAAGUGAUUCUGGGAAAGGUAGUGAUAAAGGCAACAGCAGAGACAGCUGUGGUUACACAGCUGUGUGAAUUUCAACAAGCAGUGUAACCUCUUUGACAUUUCUCAACAGUAAAUUCAAGACAAUCGGACAAUCAUUAAGAAGGCUAAAUUAGUUCAAAUAAGAAGCAGCACCUGCCUUAUAGUAAAUGCUCUCUAAGUGUUGGCAAUUAAUAUGACCCAAAUCUCUUUUUCUUUGGAAAACCAAGCUCUUGGGAAAAAAAAAAAAAUCAAAACACAGAUAGGGAUUCUAUGUUCAAAAAUCCACACUUGUAGAUGAGCCUUUACUUAACUUUCAGACCAUUUGUUCUGCUAUGAGUUAAAACAUUCAUUUCGCUGCUCCUUUAAAUUCUUCGUUCUGUCUGUAGUGUUGUGCCUCUCUUCUCCCAAGGCACCGGGGAACACUGUGGAAUUACAAGGAUAACAAACUUGGUGUCUAACUCUAAAGUUAAUUGCAUCACAGGAACAGAUGUAAGAUUUCAAAUGUUACAAGAUCUACAAAAGAGUCAGAUGAUGGCAGGAUUAUAUGUUCUUGAGGUUUAAAAUAGUGAUAACCCAGACUUAGGUUGAAACAAACAGCAACCCCUGUAGCUUCUGUAGAGGAAGUGAGGCCUGCUUUGAUGGGAAUUCUCAUUUGGACAUGCAGGAAACAUGAUGAGUAUUUCUCCUGGGCCUCUACCUGUAAUAGUAGCAACCCUCAGUGGAAAAAAAGGACACUUUUGUGGAAGGGGUAACUUUUCUUCCUUUUUGCUUCUUUCCUCAGGGACAUUCCACUUUCCCAGGCUUUUGUAUGACCUGGUAUGGUUUUUGUGAUUAUGACAGGAUUUUCUGUUCUUAUGCACUGUGUGUAAGUUCCCUGUAAGUCUGAACCAAGCCUAUAAUCUUUCAGUUUUCUGUAAAUCUUGACGCAGGCCCCUCCAAGGCUUUGUGUUUCCAAGUAUUGGAAUUGUGAUUUGAUUGGGAAGAUGUAUGAAUCAGGGCACAUGGCUGCAAGUGACAAAAAGAUCUUCUCAAAACAACUUUAUCAAAAAGAAAUACUUGUUUGCCUACCUACCUGGAAAGUCUGGAAUACAGCUGACUUCAGAUAUAGUGGAGUACAAUAGCUUAAAUGAGAAUUAGAGAUGUCUCUCUGCUUUUCAUCUCUGCUUAUUUCUGUUUGUGUUAGCACAUUGGGCCUCUUUUUCUGGUGAUACAGACAGGCUUCUUCCAUACGACUUGGGAAGAUGGCUAUUAAGCAGCUUAAAUUUAAAUCUUCCUAGAAUUGUGACUCCAAAGGCAAAGAAGGAAGUGCUCCUAAUUUGAACUAAUCUAAUAGUCACAUGGAGGAUUCUGACUGGCCCAUGUGGGGCCUUGUGCUCAUGUUCUAAGGAAUCAUUGUUGCUUGAAGCAUGGACAACUCUGGCCUGACAUGGUCCCUGGCUCGUACCUGUGACAGGACACUGAGACCUCCUGCUGGGACUCUACAGGAACUCAACUGCAGACUAGGAGGCAAAGGAGCCGACGGAUGUAUUCCACACUGAACAGCAUCCUGGGAUCCAGAGGGGUAAACAAGACGUCUGGUACCAUCACUCCUGGCCCCUCAGCAUCUACUUUUCGUUGCAGGAAAAGUUUGUGUCUCCAUCACAGGGGACACAUGAAGUUCCAUCAGCUACCAAAUCAUAACAGGGUAACAUCAGUUGAGUAGCAGCUGUGCCUGAAAUGAAAACAUUAAUGAUCACUGAGUUCUCCACGUAAGGUAGCAGAGGAAAAAAGGAAAAACAAAUAACACCAACAGUAGCUGAUACUAUCCCCAAAUCUGUAGCUGGACACAGAGCAUAAUUUGGUAAGCAGAAUUCCUUUUUCUACCAUACAUCCUAUCUCUAUGUUCUCCUUUCCCUUUGCCAGCACUAUGGUUGGACAGGGAUUCUCUCCUGGUAGGAUAAUCUGAACUUUCAUUUCUCUAAGUCCUACAAUAAAUAAGCAAAUUGAUUCCAGCAUCUUCUUUUGAGCAUCUGUUUCCUGAGGUCAUUUUUGUACUAUUAAUAAAUGUAGCAGGAAAUGUAUGGCAACUCAAAUGAAGAUAAUUCAAGGAGAGGUUAAUAAAAGGACUAUGCACAAAGGUAUUGUACAGGGUAUAAGGAAGUCCUAAGCUAUGAUUUUGGAGUUCCCCAGGCUACUUACAGGGAAACUCCUUGGCCUGAAAGAAAAAGACU